GACGAACGCUGGCGGCGUGCUUAACACAUGCAAGUCGAACGGAAAGGCCCUGCUUUUGUGGGGUGCUCGAGUGGCGAACGGGUGAGUAACACGUGAGUAACCUGCCCUUGACUUUGGGAUAACUUCAGGAAACUGGGGCUCAUACCGGAUAGGAGCUCCUGCUGCAUGGUGGUGGUUGGAAAGUUUCGGCGGUUGGGGAUGGACUCGCGGCUUAUCCGCUUGUUGGUGGAGUAGUGGCUUACCAAGGCUAUGACGGGUAGCCGGCCUGAGAGGGUGACCGGCCACAUUGGGACUGAGAUACGGCGCAGACUCCUACGGGAGGCAGCAGUGGAGAAUAUUGCGCAAUGGGGGGAAGCGUGAUGCAGCAGCGCCGGGUGCGGGAUGACGGCCUUCGGGUUGUAAACCACUUUCGCAUGUGACGAAGCGUGAGUGACGGUAAUGGGUAAAGAAGCACCGGCUAACUACGUG
rnacentral:rRNA from 1 species